UACGUAGGGUGCAAGCGUUAAUCGGAAUUACUGGGCGUAAAGCGUGCGCAGGCGGUUUUGUAAGUCUGACGUUAAAUCCCCGGGCUUAACCUGGGAAUUGCGUUGGAGACUGCAAGGCUGGAGUCUGGCAGAGGGGGGUAGAAUUCCACGUGUAGCAGUGAAAUGCGUAGAGAUGUGGAGGAACACCGAUGGCGAAGGCAGCCCCCUGGGCCAAGACUGACGCUCAUGCACGAAAGCGUGGGGAGCAAACAGG
rnacentral:rRNA from 1 species